AUGUUUUUAAAUAAAAUCAUGAACAUGUACCACGCUGCGCUUUGGUCCACUCCUCAUUCUUCAUUAGACGAGCGUUACAGAAUUGCCCACCACCAAAGGACCAAGCAGCGUGGUAAGGAGGACUGGACAUGGGAGGACAUCCUGGACGGCAAAGGAUCCUACACGUGGGAGGAGAUCCUGGCCGGAAAAGAUCACCUGCCAUGGGAGCAGGUCGAGGCAGCAAGGAAGGCGGAGGCAGCUAAGAAAAGGGCCAAGGAUUACAGGGGGACAAGGCUGGCACUAAAGACCGGGAGGCCACUCCCAAAAAAUGUUUUUGGGGGGCACAAAGGGAGAUUGGCUGAGCCAGGUUGGAGACCUGAGCCAACUCCCCGUGCUUACCGGAGGGAGCGUAGUACUGGUCAGGCACCAUGUUAUGCGGUGGAGCGCACAGUGUCUCCCGUACGCGCUCUUAGCCCGGUGCGCUACAUCUCAGCUCCCUGCAUCUGCCGGGCUAGGGUGAGCAUCCAGCCAGAAAGGAUUGUGCCAGUCCUGCUCUCCAGACCUGCAGUAUGUCUCUAUGGCCCAGGAUAUCCUGCGCCGGCUCUGCACACUGUGUCUCCAGUGCGUCUGCACAGCCCAGUGCGUCCUGUGCCUGCGCCCCGCACGUGCCGGGCUAAAGUCACCAUCCAGCCAGGGCGGGUUGUGCAGGCUCUUAGCUCGAGACCUCCAGUGCGCCUCCACGGCCCAGUGUAUCCGGUGCCUCGGCCAAGGACAGGGCUUCCUGUAUGUGUCUCCAGCCUGGUGAGUCCUGUGCCUGCGCCCAGAACUAAUCCUCUUGCAUGUCUCCCCAGCCUGGUGAGCCCUGUGGCAGCUCCACGUACCAGACUGCCCAUACGUCUUCUCCCUCCAGUGAUAAUCCAUGGCACGAAGCCUCCAGUGAUGAUCCAUGGCAAGAAGCCUCCAGUGAUGAUCCAUGGCAUGAAGCCUCCAGUGAUGAUCCAUGGCACGAAGCCACCAGUGAUGAUCCAUGGCACGAAGCCUCCAGUGAUGAUCCAUGGCAAGAAGCCUCCAGUGAUGAUCCAUGGCACGAAGCCUCCAGUGAUGAUCCAUGGCACGAAGCCUCCAGUGAUGAUCCAUGGCACGAAGCCUCCAGUGAUGAUCCAUGGCAAGAAGCCUCCAGUGAUGAUCCAGGGCACAAAGCAUCCAGUGAUGAUCUCCAGUCCGGGGCCCGCAACAAGGGUGCCCAGUCCGGGGCCCGCAACGAGGGUGCCCAGUCCGGAGCCUCCAGCAACGAGGGUGCCCAGUCCGGGGCCCGCAACGAGGGUGCCCAGUCCGCGGCCCGCAACGAGGGUGCCCAGUACUGGGCCCACUACGAGGGUCCCCAGUCCGGGGCCCGCUUCUAUGUUUUCUGUUAGGUUUGGUUACCUUACAGAACUGUUAGUUUGUCCCUUUGUUAUUUUUGUUCAAAGUGUUCUGAGUUAA
rnacentral:lncRNA from 1 species